rnacentral:rRNA from 1 species
GACCUGGCGGCAGCCUACACAUGCAAGUCGAGCGGAUGANAGGAGCUUGCUCCUGGAUUCAGCGGCGGACGGGUGAGUAAUGCCUAGGAAUCUGCCUGGUAGUGGGGGACAACGUUUCGAAAGGAACGCUAAUACCGCAUACGUCCUACGGGAGAAAGCAGGGGACCUUCGGGCCUUGCGCUAUCAGAUGAGCCUAGGUCGGAUUAGCUAGUUGGUGAGGUAAUGGCUCACCAAGGCGACGAUCCGUAACUGGUCUGAGAGGAUGAUCAGUCACACUGGAACUGAGACACGGUCCAGACUCCUACGGGAGGCAGCAGUGGGGAAUAUUGGACAAUGGGCGAAAGCCUGAUCCAGCCAUGCCGCGUGUGUGAAGAAGGUCUUCGGAUUGUAAAGCACUUUAAGUUGGGAGGAAGGGUUGUAGAUUAAUACUCUGCAAUUUUGACGUUACCGACAGAAUAAGCACCGGCUAACUCUGUGCCAGCAGCCGCGGUAAU